GUGCUCGCUUUGGCUGCACAUAUACUAGAAUUGGAGCAAUACAGAGAAGAUUAGCAUGGCCCCUGCACAAGGAUGACACAAAGAUUCGUGAAGCAUUCCAUAUUAAA
ensembl:snRNA U6 U6 spliceosomal RNA